rnacentral:lncRNA from 1 species
GUGUUCUGAGUCAGAAUGGAUGACGAAUCGAGUGGUACGGUGGUGAAGCUGCUAGUUCGUGGUCGAAAACGAUAUCGAAUAAAGUCAUAUACUUCAGAGCCAGAAAAGAAGAAAAUUAGGAAGGUAUUACAUGAAGGCGUCCUGGUAGAAAUUCUCUCAAAACUGCCUGCCAAGUCUGUACUCAGGUUUAGACGCGUCUCAAAAGAGUGGUAUGCUCUCACCAAAACUUCUUAUUUCAUUGCUAGACAUGACCUUCAUCGUCGCUCUCGCUCCGCUCAGAAUCAUGGUCUUCUCCUUGUCGCGAAAUAUCUCACCAAUGAAAAAUCUGAGAGACUUCUAAUGAUGUCAUUGCAUCCUCACUACUACAAAAAGUGAAAAAGACGACCAGAAAACAACGACGGUCUAAGUGAAAACCGUCGUGGUUUAUAAAAAGACGACGGUUCUAAAAACACCGUCGUGUAAUACAACCUUAGACAACUAAAAAAUGGAGUUUCAAAUGGCUGUUCAAAAACAACGACGUACAUAAUUAAACAACCGACGUCUAUUUGAAACAGAUUUCCUCAGUGUAAAAUCAAUGCCAACAAAGAACGGCAGAAGUUAUGAAUCGACCGACGUAGAAAGUAAAGACGACGAUUUCAAUAAAAACUGCCGUUUUUACUCAUAAAAUAACACGACGAGGUUUUCGUAUAAGACGCCGUAUAAUUACAAACAAAUCCACGGCUUUAAAAUACAAAAUAUCGCCGUAUUAAAUUAAUUUACAACGACGGAAAAUAUAAAUAUAUCGACGUCAUUCUCGUAUAGUUCUACUACGUUAUCUUUAAAUCGUACAAUAAAAUUUAUCGUCGUAUUUAUUCAUUUUAUACGUCGUACCUUUAAUUUUAACGGUCGUCUUAAUAAGAAUUUUUGUUAACAAUUUUUUUCUUUGAUUUUCUUAUCCUACGUCGGUAGAUCUACUUAAUGACAAGAAUUGAAAUAACCACGACGGUUUAUAUAGAACACCGCCGACAUAAUCAGUUUUGUCUGAGAUCCCAAGGGUUACGAAAUCUUACCAGAUGGAACUCUGUUCCACAUCAUAAUCUUAACAGAUGACACAGAUUUGCAAAUAUUGCGUCGUGUUAGUUUACAAAUUCUAGAACAUUAAUUUCCCUCAUUUUAAAUUUCCUCGGGAAAGAAAAAUCUAUUUAUCACGCUUUGGAAUUGAAAACUAAAACUGAAAGAAUACGGGAAAAAAAACUCCAUUUAUAAUUUAAAAUUAAAAUCCACGUCGGUUGUAGUACACUUAACGACGUUUAACAAAAUAAUCUACGUCGGUAAUUAUAAAUCUACCGCCAUCGUAACUUAAUAUAGACGACGAGAAAAGACGACGGUAGAACAGAAAACCGCCGUUGUUUCAGUUUCUUUAACAUAUCUUUCUGCAGGACUUGUGUAGUUCAAAGCAUUGACAAUGUCUUCAUCAUAUCUCCCAGAAACUACUGAUUCAAUUGCUCAUGCUUUAGAGGCCAUCUGAAGCCAUUUCUAUUCUUUAUCGCAUUCUUGAAACCCAUCUUCUUCUUCUGAAGCUCUACGGAUAAAGGAAGAGGCUAUCACAAUAAAUCCGACGGAUCUUCUUAGGCAAGAAAAUCAAGCAGAGGAUCAGGCACAUCUGAUCUUCAGAUUUCCCUGAGAAGCGAACUUUCCUUCGACAGCGAGUGGAGGCCAGGCUUGCAUCUCUUUUGAUGGAAAGCAAGGAGUAUUCAGAAGCACUAAGUGUCCUAUCAGGCUUGAUCAAGGAAGUGAGAAGGCUAGUUGACAAGCUUCUUCUUGUGGACAUAUAUUUGAUGCGAGUAAGCUCAAUUUCUCUUUGAGAAAACAUCCAAAUUAUUAUCUUUGAGACAUGAGAGACUGAGAGAGGAAGAACUUGGAACCUUAAAUGUAAACCGAAAAUGAAUGAAAGCGACAAAUUUAUAGAAUAAAUUUUUAAAACCAACGGCGGUCCUUACAAACAAACCGCCGUUUAAAUUGUAAAAUCAACGUCGGUAUGAUCGACGUAUAUUACAGAAAUCCACGUCGGUAAAUUAAUAAAAACGACGUGUUAAAUAAUAUACCAUGACGCGAGUUAUUACUUAUGUACUUUAAUUUUUGAGUUUACUACGACGGUACCUACAAACUACUGUCGUAUUUAUUUACCACGUCCGAAGUUAAAUGUACCGUCGUAUUUUGUAAUUUAUACGUCGUAGUUAUAUGUAACCGCCAUAUUAUUUUUUUGAAAUGGUUUUAUAUGUAAGCAACUUUUCGUCUACUUGACUUACACAUUUGUUGUUUUUAUAUUCUUAUUUUAUUUAAAUCUGUCAUCCAAAAAAGAAACUUUACAUAUUGCAGAAUAUUAAUUUCCUUCGUUUUAAAUUUCCUCCGGAAAAAAAACUCUAUUUAUAACGCACUGUAAUUGAAAAAUAAACUGAAAGGUCACGGGAAAAAAAAUUCUAUUCAUAAUUUAAAAAUUAAAAUCCACGUCGGUUAUAUUAAACCUAACGACGUUAAAUGAAAUGAUUCCACGUCGAAUGAAAAAUAUUGCGUCGUUUUAGUUAAAAACGACGUAGUUAAAUGUAACCGCCGUAUUAUUUUUUUGAAAUGGUUUUAUAUGUAAGCAACUUUUCGACUUACACAUGCACUGUUUCCAAACCCGAUUAAAAAUUUCAAUCUCCCAGAGAAACCUUUUCGUCUUUUUUCCUUGUCAGAGCAUUGUCAGAGUUUCUCAUCGUCUUCCUCUCGUCUUCUUCGUCGUCUCUGAACUUAAACAUCGAUCAUCUUCCUCUUGCUUUCAUUGCACGCAAAAGGUAAGCUUUCAUUUUCACUAUUUUGGUUACUGUUUUGCAUGCUCAUACGUUUUUUGUUUGAAAAAUCUUUUUACCUUUUUUCUGGCCAAAAUCAUUUUACUUCUUUCCAAGUUUGAUAAAAUAUACAGACAAAGAGAGAAAGUUUCCAACUUUGAAGACAACUACAUCAACUAAAUAAGACGACGGUAGACCACGACGGUUCGUCAGUUGUUCUAGCGUCGUCUGAAAAUUGACAAAGUUGUUUUUAAAAUAAUAGUCUUUUUUUAUAUGCUUGUUUAAUUGCAGGUUUGAUUUCGCUGAACAAUGGUUUUUGUUUUUCCCUUAUUUGAUAAAAUAUAAAGAAAAAGAAACUAGGGUUGGUAUCUAAUAUAGACGAUAAAAUAUAAAUAAUAGUUUACCACGACGGUGUAUUACUAUUGACGUCGUGUGAACAUAUAUACCACGACGUUAUAUAAAUAAUGGUUUUAAACAUUUAUUACGUCUGAGAUUAUUUCAUUGCGUCGUCUAAAAUCAUAUCAUACGUCGUAUUUUUUUAAUACCGUCGUUUGUGUUCUUAAUGUUUUCCUGAAAUAUUUUCACUUGCAGUUUUGUCUGUUAAAAUGGUUUCUCAACAACAAACUAAGGAUUCUGGCUCCAAGAAGCUUGGAAUGGUAGCUCCUCAAGAUAAGUCUUCGAAGGAGAUGAAGUCUUCGAAGAAGAUGAAGUUUGCUUCAUCAUCUGCUGAGACAGAACAAACCAGCCAGACAACAAUCUCAGAUGAUUCAAAGACUGGUCGAGGUAUGAGCACAAUGCCUCGUGUUGUGAAGAGAAAGCUUCAGAAACUGAGGCCAAUUGUUGAGUACAAUAAAAGGGGGAAAGGUGUUGGCCAAGCACAUAUUGAGAUGCAGUCGUAUAUUGGUGUGUUGGCACGCUCCAGGAUCCCACUUGUGGACAAGAAAUGGUCCCAAAUCCCCAAGGAUAUAAAGGAGCAGAUUUGGGAAGCAGUUGACAUGGCUUUUGUCGUAGGCCAAGGGGGCAAGACCUCUGUUUUAGCUUCUGCUUCCAAGAAAUGGAAGGAUUUCAAGUCUACACUAACGAGGCAUUAUAUCCUUCCAUACACCAAUGACAGGGAGAAAUUAAGCCAACCCCCUGAAACAUAUAAAUUCAUAGAGAAAGCACAAUGGGAUGCCUUUGUAGCUUCAAGGCUAUCCAAAGAUUUUGAGUCUGUGCAUUCUCAACAUGCACAGAUUAGGGAGAAACUCGAGUACAAUCAUCGAUUGUCUCGAAAAGGAUAUGCUGGAUUGGAGGAUCAAUUGGAGGAAACCAUGCCUGGGGUAGAAAUUGAUCGAUCUACCUUAUGGAAGAGAGCUAGACAGGACAAACAUGGUAACAUCCCUGAUCCAAAGGUGGCAGAGAAAGCAAAAUUAAUUGUAAGCCUACUAUCACUCUGUUUUAAAUUUUUAUUAAACUGUGAAUUAUUCUUAUUACGUCGUAUGUUAUAUUUUUCGUCGUGUGAAUGAUAUUACCACGUCGAAAAGUUUUUAAAAACGUCGUUAAAGGUCUAAAUAGGAAUCACUACUAUGUUUUCUGUAAUUACAGCAUAAGACGUCGGUGGUUCAUUUUCGCGUCGUGUGAAUGAUAUUACCACGUCGAAAAUUUUUUAAAAACGUCGUUAACGGUCUAAAUAGGAAUCACUACUCUGUUAUCUUUAAUUAUAGCAUAAGACGUCGGUUGUUUAUUCAUUUCGUCGUUUUAAAUAAAUAACCACGUCGGUAUAACUACCGUCGUGAUAAGUUAUAAUAACGUCGGUUUAUACGUUAUUGCGUCGUGUGAAAUUAUAUAAUACGUCGUUUGUACAUAAAUAACCGUCGUGUGUUUUUUUGUUUAUCUUUUUUUAGGAUGAAUUGCAGAAACAAGUCUCGGAAGGCAAAGUCAGAGUAGAUGGCAGCAAUGAUGUGCUGACCAUGGCUUUGGGCCCCGAGCAUCCAGGCAGACUGAGGGGAGUUGGUGCUGGUGUUUCCCCAAGGCAAUAUUUCAAUUUGCCCAAACCACAGAGGGUGAGCUUUGACGACCGUUUGAAGGACAGUUUAAGAGUUCUCCUUCAAGAAGAGACUAAAAAGAUGGAGGCUAAGGCAAGGGAAGAGGCCUUAAGGAUGGAGGCUAGGACAAAACAAUUGGUAGAGGCUGAGAGGGAGCAUUUCCUGAGUCAGCUUUCCCAAUUAAUUCCCAAUUUUGAUCCAAGCAUGCUUAAACCAAGAAUUAGCCAAAGCCCCAAAAAUUCAAUGUCUGACAAAGCUAGCUGCUCUGGAGGUGAUGUGAGAUCCCUACAUUUGGAGGAUGAUACUGCCAAAAUGGGGAAACAUCAGCCAGAUGAAGAGAAGGAAGAAGAAAAAAGAGAUGAAGAGAAGGAAGAAGAAAAGGAGAAAGAAGAUGAAGAAAAGCAUGACGACAAGGUAUGUUCACAUAACUUUGCCUUUUUUAUUUGUUUUUCAAAAUUUCAGACGUCGAUAUUUUUAUUUAAUCCGUCGUUUGUUUAAAACUUAGACGGCGGAAUUUUUUUAAGACGUAAUAAAAUAUUUAAACGACGGUUUUUGCACCGUCGUUUAAAUGGUUUCAGACGACGCUUUAUUCAUAAAACCGUCGUCUUUAUUGAAUUACCACGACAGUUUUUUCACCGUCGUUUAAAUACUUUUAAGACGACGUUUUAUUACUUAAACCGUCGUCUUUAUUGAAUUACCACGUCAUUUUUUUUAUUUCUUUAAACAGGUUAUUGAAGUUGGUGCUUAUUCAAAUAUGGAGGCGCCAUCUUCUUUAAAAACCCUUUGUCGUUUUGUGGAAACGACACUCCUGCCUGAGGAUAAGACACUCCAAUUUACAAUUGAUAAGGAGGUGUUUGGUGGUGAGCGCGAUACCUUCCUCCUGCCUGAAGAUAUUACACAAUUUGCAGGCAUGGAAGAAAUUGGAGCUACUGUAUUGGCUGUAUAUAUGAGGUUUGUACUUCUAAAAUAAUACCUCGUUGGUUUAUAUAUUGCGUCGUCUUAACUAACUACCACGUCGUCUUAACUAACUACCGUCGUGAUAAAUAUAUUAUAACGUCCUCAUCUAUUUCAGUACGUCGUGUGAAAUAUUAUAAUACGUCGUUUUUUUAUACAUAACCGUCGUGUUUGUUUGUGCUGACUUGUUUAUAUUAUUUUAUUUGUUUAGGUACUUACACGAUGUUUUGAAAAAAGCCAAUAUGUGCAGUAUGGUUGGCUUUAUCGACCCUGCUACAGUUAGUGCCAACUCUGGCACAAUAACUGAAAGAUCACGACUCGUAGCAGCUCGACUUCAGAAGACAGACGGUGAACAGAUUUUCAUGAUGCCUUACAAUCCAGGGUUAGUCUCCUUAGGAUUUUGUUUUUAUGAUUUUCAAUAAAUGACAGCUUAUAAACUAACCACGUCGGUGUUUUAUUUUAUUUAGUCGUUUGAAACUACUAACCACGUCGGUAUUUAUUUAUCGUCGUGAUAAAUAUAUAAUGUCGUCGUUAGCUACUUUACUUCGUCGUGUGAAAUACUAUAAUACGUCGUUUUUGUAAAUAACCGUCGUUUUUAUAUUAAUUUUGUGCAGCCGUCAUUGGAUUUUGCUGAUUGUAAGAGCAAAGAGAGAAACCGUCUAUUUUCUGGAUCCUCUGCCAGGAAAUCGUGUGGUCGAUGAAGAGGCCAAAAACAUCGUGAACAGUGCUUUAAAAAUAUAUAAUACCCACAUAGCCCGAGCAGGACGUAAAAAUGUAAUUUGGAAAACUCUCUCAGGCACACCAAAGCAACCCAGCAAUGUCGAAUGCGGGUAUUAUGUAAUGCGCUUCAUGAGGGACAUCAUCAUGGAUCCUUCCUUGGGGUUUGAGAAUAAGGUAAGAAGAAAUUACCUUCAUACAUUUCACGUCGUUUUUUGUAUUAUCAACGACGGUCGUGUAAAAUUAACGUCGUUGAAUGGAUAUACUACGUCGGUUAUGAAAAAUAUCGUCGUCUGUGAUUGAAUUUCUUUUUAUUUAUAAACCCUAAUAGUCAUUGUUUAUGCAGUAUGCCAAGGGAAACCAGGAAGCUUCAUACCCCCAAGAAGCCAUUGAUGAAGUCCGGAAUGAAUGGGCAGAGUUUGUUUUCCAAAUUAUUAAACAGGGCAAUUAUUGAACACUUGAUAUUUAUGUAUAAUGUACCAAUUUUCUCUAUAAUAUGUAAUGUAAAAAUUUGUUGAGGUUUUCUUAAAUUAAAAAAAAAACAAACAUACAAAUUGCUUAACCGACGUGUAAUACUUUUCCAACGACCUAAUAAAGUCAAUAACCGUCGUAUUUUGUUGUUGCGUGUUUUAAACAAAUACGACGUAAAAAAAUAGUUAGACGACGUUCUUUGAACAAUUGAGUCGUUAAUGGUUUACAAUAUCUUCAAUUUCUUAAGGGUUCAGGGUAUAAUCGACGACGUUUAUGUAACGACUGCGGUUAAGUCGUAAAAUAUAUAUUUUACGUCGUAUAGUUAAAUAGCCGCCAUGGUUUCUCAUUUUAACGACUUAGUAGUCUAUUACAAUUUACAACGUCUACAAUUUAUUAACACCGACGUGGUUUGUUGUUGUGGUAAGAAUAUUUUAUUAUUUUUAUAUCAAAAUAUUCAAAAUAAAUUUAAAAUAAAUCAGAAAAUUGAAAAGUCAACUCCUAUGAAGUCAUUGAUAUAUUUUCUUCCACAUAAACCUUGAAAAAAUUCAUUUUGAAUAACAAAAAUUUAAAAUGACCAUCCAAAACAAAAUUGUUUUGAUGAGUCAUAAAAUCACUUCUAGUUUUAUGGUUUAGGGUUUAGAGUCUAGGGUUUAGAGAUUAGGGUUGUUAUUUAUUGGGGUUUAUUUUUAAAGUAUAAUUUUUGGGUAGUCUAUGUUAUAUGUUAGGCUUUAAAACCAUAAAACCUUUUAUAAACUUAAUUUUUUAAAUUGUAUAAUUUAAUUUUAUGGGUUUAGUGUAUUAAUUUUUAACGACGGUGGUUGGGUCGUGGAAUACAUAUUUUACGUCGUACAGUAAAACAUACGACAUGGUUUACGCUUUAAACGACGUCAUUUUAAUAUGUAAGUCGGUUUAUAUAAUUUACAACGUUUUUAAUUUCUUAACACCGACGUGGUUUCUCAUUUUAACGACGUCAUUUUAACGACUUAGUAGUCUAUUACAAUUUACAACGUCUACAAUUUAUUUAACACCGACGUGGUUUGUUGUAUGGUAAGAAUAUUUUAUUAUUUUUAUAUCAAAAUAUUCAAAAUAAAUAUAAAAUAAAUCAGAAAAUUGAAAAGUCAACUCCUAUGAAGUCAUUGAUAUAUUUUCUUCCACAUAAACCUUGAAAAAAUUCAUUUUGAAUAACAAAAAUUUAAAAUGACCAUCCAAAACAAAAUUGUUUUGAUGAGUCAUAAAAUCACUUCUAGUUUAAUGGUUUAGGGUUUAGAGUCUAGGGUUUAGAGAUUAGUGUUGUUAUUUAUUGGGGUUUAUUUUUAAAGUAUAAUUUUUGGGUAGUCUAUGUUAUAUGUUAGGCUUUAAAACCAUAAAACCUUUUAUAAACUUAAUUUUUUAAAUUGUAUAAUUUAAUUUUAUGGGUUUAGUGUAUUAAUUUUUAACGACGGUGGUUGGGUCGUGGAAUACAUAUUUUACGUCGUACAGUAAAACAUACGACAUGGUUUACGCUUUAAACGACGUUAUUUUAAUAUGUAAGUCGGUUUAUAUAAUUUACAACGUCUUUAAUUUCUUAACACCGACGUGGUUUUUCAGUCGUCGUUAUAUAAAAAAUUCAAAAUAAAUUUAAAAUUAAUCCGAAAAAUGAACGGCCUUACGUUCUUAAUCCGAAAAAUGAAGUUUCCGUCGUGGAAUAUUAAAUUUACGUCGGUACUUGUAGAACUUUCGCCUUGGUUUUUCUUUCGACGUUUUAUAACGCGCGCGCUCUAAAAAUUUUCGCGCGACCUAAAUUUUUUUAGAUUUGGCUCUUAGUCUUAUACUUUGAUCCCUGAAACCUAAAAUUUCAGAUUUCACGCGACAUAACAUUUCGCUCUCUCACUUCUGCUCUAAUUAAAAGUUGCACUCUCCAGGCUCGUCGAAUCUGUGAGCUCGUCCAACCUGUAAGUACAAACCCUAUCUUCCCCUUGUAAAUUCAUUGAAUGAUAUUAGGUUGUUUUGUUAAAGGGUUUUAGGUAUAUGCUUUGCGAUCUGUUAAUAAUGUGCUUAUAGGUAUGGGUUCAUGGAUUUUCUGUUUAAUGGGUUCAUGACAAGAUCAAAUAAAGGUGUACUUUUGCUGGAAAUCAACACAAAAAGACACAUCACCAACUUCCAAAUGAUUUCCAGCAAAAGGACACCUUUAUUUGAUCUUGUCAUUUUCCGCUCUGGAGAAGGUGCAAAGUGCACCAAUGCUUAUAGGUAUGGGUUCAUGGAUUUUCUGUUUAAUGGGUUCAUGGAUUACAUUAUCUGUUAUGUUGAAUUGGGAAUGGAUUUAAUUUUGUCGUAUCUUUUAAUCACCCUAUGUUAUGUUGAAUUGGGAAUGGAUUUAUUGUUUUCAUGCUUGGUUUCAUGUAUAUGUUGGUUUCUUGCUUGGUUUCAUAUAUAUGUUGUGUUCUUAAUGGGUUUUGUGUUCUUGAAAAUAAACUGAGACACGACGAAUUUUAAGGCGUACGACGACGAUUACACGACGGUGUUUUUAAACUACCGUCGUUGUAUUACUUAUACACGACGGUUUUUUCAUAAACCGUCGUUUGUAUUACGUAUAAUAGACGACGUCUGUUGAAAAUCCGUCGUCUAUAUAUGCCAAAUACGUCUGUUUUUGAUUAAAACCCGUCGUCUCUGUUGUUUAUUACUUGCGAUUAGAUCAUUGUAUAAUCUGCUAUAGUGAUGGUCAUUGCCUGUAUUUUCACUUUAUUAUAGAUAAUAGGUUAUAGUGUCGGAGAUGGAUAAGUCAUGGAUGCACUCGGAUAGAAGAUCGAAGGCAUAUGAGUUUGGGGUGGAAGCAUUUUUGAACUUUGCUGUAGAAAAUCUUCUAACUACAACACAUAUCCGUUGUCCAUGUGUUAAAUGUGUUAAUUUGAAGUUGUUUGGGGUUGGAAUUAUAAGGGAUCACUUAUACUUUAAUGGAAUUGACCAAAGCUAUAAGAAUUGGACAUUUCACGGAGAACCUUGGGAAGCAACUACUAAUGCUAGCAGAAAUGUUGAAGAAGAUGAUGGCCAUAGUAGGUACAGUUUUGUGUCUGAAGAAAUUGAUAUGGAUGAUAAUGAUUUUGGUGAUUUUGGUUCGGAUCCGUAUGAGUUUGCCAAUGUGAUUGGGGAUGGAGAUCAACCAGUGUACCCUGGUUGUAGAAAGUACACGAAGUUAUCGGCAUUAGUGAAGUUGUAUAAUUUGAAGGCAAAACAUGGGAUGAGUGAUGUCUGUUUUACAGAAUUAUUGAUACUUCAAGGCGAUUUGCUUCCAGAAGGAAAUACAAUACCAACCUCCAUGUAUGAGGCUAAAAAGACUUUGUGUGCAUUGGGGCUGAGUUAUGAGAAAAUGCACGCAUGCCCCAAUGAUUGCAUCUUGUAUAGGAAGGAGUAUGAGGAUUCAACUAAUUGUCCUACUUGUGGUAUCUCAAGGUGGAAGGAAGGCAAAGAUGCAAUCUUGAAAGAGGGUGUGCCAGCGAAGGUGGUGUGGUAUUUUCCCCCAAUUCCAAGGUUUAAAAGGAUGUUUCAAUCACAUGAGACAGCUAAGAGUUUGACUUGGUGGCAUGUUGCUAGAAAAUCAAUUGACGGUCAGAUGUCUCAUCCGGCGGAUUCCCCGUCUUGGAAACUUCUUGAUGAUAAAUGGCCUGAGUUUGGUAAUGAGCCGAGAAACUUGAGAUUGGCUCUUUCAUCUGAUGGAUUCAAUCCCCACAGUUCUCUAAGUAGCAGAUAUAGUUGUUGGCCGGUUAUCUUAGUUACAUAUAAUCUCCCUCCAUGGCUGUGCAUGAAACGAAAGUUCAUGAUGUUAACCUUAUUGAUUUCCGGUCCUAAACAACCCGGAAAUGAUAUAGACGUCUACUUGGAGCCUUUGAUUGAUGAUUUAAAAUCCUUGUGGGUUGGGAUUAGAGGAGUGUAUGAUGCACAUAAUGGAGAAUACUUUACACUCAGAGCUGCAUUAAUGUGGACAAUUAAUGAUUUCCCCGCCUAUGGAAACUUAUCUGGUUGUGUUGUUAAAGGAUAUAAAGCUUGUCCAAUAUGCGGCGAUGAUACACCUAGUCACAGGUUGAAAAAUGGCCACAAAAUUUGUUACAUUGGGCAUAGAAAAUGGUUACCAAUCAAUCAUCCAUAUAGGAGGCAACGUGCAGCUUUUAAUGGGAAACCUGAAUAUGGCAUACCUCCAGAGCCAUUAACCGGAGAAGAAGUGCUGCAUAUGGUUGAAAAUGGUGACAGAGUUUGUUGGAAGAAGAAAUCAAUAUUCUUUGAUCUCGAGUAUUGGAAAUACCUUCCUGUGAGGCAUGCCCUAGAUGUUAUGCACAUUGAGAAGAAUGUUUGCGAUAGUAUCAUUGGUACAUUGCUGGAGAUCCCUGGAAAAAAUAAAGAUGGGAUUGCUGCUCGAUUAGAUUUAUUGAACAUGGGGGUCAAAACUGAUUUGCAACCCGAGUAUGGAGAAAGACGUACUCGUUUGCCUCCUGGGCCUUGGAAUUUGUCAAGAGCAGAGAAGAGAGAGGUUUGCAAUUCUUUCUAUGGUAUGAAGGUCCCUGAAGGUUAUUCUUCAAAUAUUAAAAAUCUUGUAUCUGUACAAGAUUCAAGACUUCUUGGCCUUAAAUCACAUGAUUGUCAUACCUUAAUGCAACAAUUGCUCCCUGUGGCAAUUCGUUCUGUUUUGGAGAAGCCUGCAAGGUAUGCAAUAACUCGUUUGUGCUUCUUCUUCAAUGCUAUAUGUGCAAAGACUGUUGAUGUUUCCAAGCUAGAUAAGUUGGAAGAAGAUGUAGUAGUUACUCUGUGUUUGCUUGAGAAGUACUUUCCCCCUUCAUUCUUUGAUAUCAUGGUUCAUCUAGUAGUACAUCUUGUCAGAGAAGUUCGUCUAUGUGGGCCAGUAUAUUUUAGGUGGAUGUAUCCGUUUGAAAGAUAUAUGAAAGUGCUGAAGGGGUAUGUUCAGAAUCGUACUCGUCCCGAAGGUUGCAUUGCUGAGCGGUAUAUAGCUGAAGAAGCGGUAGAGUUUUGUACUCAGCAUUUAUCUGAUGUUAGUACAGUUGGAGUGCCUUCAAGCCAAAAGAUGGGAGUUUCAAAGCCAUUAUCAGGUUGCACAGUGAGCGUAGUUGAUCAGGACCUGUUGAAUCAAUCACAUCUAUAUGUCUUGGAGAAUACGGAGGAAGUCCUACCUUAUAUCGAGUACGUAUGAGUUUUAUUCUUUAAGUUUCCAUUUAAAAUUAUUUCUUAUGUUUAUCUUAUAUAUUUGGGACCGUAAUGCUUGAAUUUUUCGUGUCAUGUAGGCAACAUAUGAUCCACAUCAAGACUGCUUAUCCAAAAUUUAGAAAGAGAACAAAGUGGCUGCAGGAUAAGCACAAUAGCACUUUCAUUCAAUGGCUACGCUUCAAGGUAUAUGUUGUUGAAUAACGUAUUUCUCUUUUAAUUUUCUUCUUAUUUAUAUGUUAGGAUGAAUUAAGAUAUGAUUAAUUUGCAGGUUCAAAGUGAAGUUGAGGAAGACAAUCAUGGCGUAUCAGAAAAUUUAAGGUGGCUAGCAGCUGGUCCAAACAUGUCAGUGCCAUUAUAUAGGAGCUAUCUUAUUAAAGGUAUUAAAUUCAAUAUCAAGGCACAAGAUGAUGUGCGGACAACUCAAAAUAGUGGAGUUUAUUUACUUGCACAUACCAUGCAAGUUGCUAGUGCCAAGGAUAAAAACCCAAUUCUCUCAAAUAUGGGUUUCUAUGGUGUCAUUCAAGAAAUUUGGGACCUUGACUACCAAAAGUUUACAAUCCCAGUCUUUAGGUGUGAUUGGAUAGAUAGUUCUGGUCUUGUAGUCGACGAACUUGGAUUUACCCUUGUAGAUUUGAGUAAAAUUGGACAUAGGAAUGACCAAUUUGUUUUGGCUUCUCAAGUCAAACAAAUAUUUUUUGUUGACGACCCGAUGCAUCGUGGUUGGUCGGUAGUGUUAUCAAUGCCUAGUAGAGAAUAUAAUGAUGUUAUUGGUGAUGAAGUAUUAGGUGAUGUGAUAAUUGAGUGUGAGCCAUUUACUAGAGGGAUGCCAAAUGUUGACACAUUUGAUGAACUGGUAGGUGAGUUAGGCGGUCAAAAUAUUCGAGAUGGGUGUGAAGAUAUAUGGAUUGAAUGAUGCUUAUGUAAUUGGCAGUGUAUGACAUUAAUUUUGUAAUAUAUUGUAAUGUGAUUUCUUCACUUUCUACGUUCAAAUAAAACACGACGUUAUUGUGAAUCAGUUAUUCAGCAUAUUUACCGACGUCUUAAAGCAACGUAACAAUGAAGAACCACGACGCUAUUGUGAAGCAAUUAUUCAGGAUAUCACGUCGGUGAAGGAUAAAGAACCGCCAUGUAAUUCAAAAUAACACGACUCCAAUCCCAUAAUACCGACGUCUAAAAAACGAGAUAUGUAAUCUGAACGUUAAAAAAUACGACGUCAUCAUACAUUUUCCACGUCGCAAGUUCUUUUAUAAACGAAGAGGAACGAAAUUAAUUCCGACGGAAAUUCAUUAUAACCGCCGUCUAAUAACAAUUAAACGACGUUAUUUGUAAUACGGCUCCCAUCAUAAUCUACGCCGUCUAUAUGUUCUGUAAUACGGCUCUCAUUUAUUUGGAACCGACGUUGUUUAGACGUUCAACGUCGUCUAUAUUAUUAAGUGCGUCGUGAGUAAUGAAUACAUAUAAAUACAACGUCGACUAUAUAAAUGUAUACGUCGUAAAUAAUGACACUGACAACUAUUUCCACGUCAUCUUUUUUAGAUAAAAUCGAAGUGGAAAAUUUAUUUCACGACGGUUUUUUGUAAAUAAGAGACGUUGUAGAACUUUAGCAGACUAAACACGUCUGUUUUUAUUGUUUUCCGACGUUGUUGUAUUUAACAACGUCUAAUAUUUAUGGUCGUUGUUUGUUUCUGAAAAUAGGACGUAUAAAUUUUUUAAUACGACUCUCAUAUAUUUGUAACUGACGUUGUUUAGUUUUUCAACGUCUACUAUAGAAACACAUACGUCGUAAAUAAUGACACUGACAACUAUUUCCACGUCAUCUUUUAUCAAAAAAUCGAAGUGGAAAAUUAAUUGUACGACGGUUGUGUUUAUAUGUGCGACGUAGUAGGUAUCAAUAACGUCGUCUUCUAAUGUAUUUAAAGACGUCAUAUUUUUUAUUGUCGUGAAAAUUAUAUUUAACGUCGGCGUAUUUUUAUUGUCGUCGUUGUAUGUCUAUCUUGCGGCCUUGUUCUCUUAAUAUGUGUCAUAUUUUCCCUUUUUAACGACGGUCUUUUUAGAGAAUUGGUCGUCUAUUAUCAUCAUCGAUUGCUUUUUUUAGAUCUUUUGCAGUACAAAGACGUCGUUUUGUAUUUUUUGAUGACGUUGUAUUGUUUAACAACGACGGUUAUUUAGCGUCGUGGUUUAUGAGGGAAAAGAUGACGGUGGAUUCCACGACCAUUGAAAAACCAAAUACACGACGGUGAUUUACCGUCGUCUUUUUGCUUUUUUGUAGUAGUGCCUGAUGAUGAAGAAUCAAAAAUUUUGC